rnacentral:rRNA from 1 species
GAUGAACGCUAGCUACAGGCUUAACACAUGCAAGUCGCGGGGCAGCAUGGGGGUUGCUUGCAAUCCCCGAUGGCGACCGGCGCACGGGUGAGUAACGCGUAUCCAACCUGCCCUUCACCACGGGAUAACCCGGCGAAAGUCGGACUAAUACCGUAUGUUGUCCAUUGACGGCAUCCGAUUUGGACGAAAGGUUUGGCGGUGAAGGACGGGGAUGCGUCCGAUUAGCUGGACGGCGGGGUGACGGCCCACCGUGGCGACGAUCGGUAGGGGUUCUGAGAGGAAGGUCCCCCACACUGGAACUGAGACACGGUCCAGACUCCUACGGGAGGCAGCAGUGAGGAAUAUUGGUCAAUGGGCGUAAGCCUGAACCAGCCAAGUAGCGUGCAGGAUGACGGCCCUAUGGGUUGUAAACUGCUUUUAUGCGGGGAUAAAGUGGCCCACGUGUGGGUUUUUGCAGGUACCGCAUGAAUAAGGACCGGCUAAUUCCGUG